rnacentral:rRNA from 1 species
GAUGAACGCUGGCGGCGUGCUUAACACAUGCAAGUCGAACGAAGCAUUUAGAACAGAUUAUUUCGGUAUGAAGUUCUUUAUGACUGAGUGGCGGACGGGUGAGUAACGCGUGGGUAACCUGCCUUGUACUGGGGGAUAGCAGCUGGAAACGGCUGGUAAUACCGCAUAAGCGCACGGUGCUGCAUGGCACAGUGUGAAAAACUCCGGUGGUAUAAGAAGGACCCGAGUCGGCUUAGCUAGGUGGUGAGAUAACAGCCCACCAAGGCGACGAGAAGUAGCCGACCUGCGAGGGUGCCCGGACACCUUGGGGCUGAGACACCGCCCAGACUCCUACGGGAGGCAGCAGGGGGGAAUAUUGCACAAUGGAGGGAACUAUGAUGCAGCUACGCCGCGUGAUUGAAGAAGUAAUUCUUUAUGUAAAGCUCUAUCAGCAGGGAAGAUAGUGACGGUACCUGACUAAGAAGCUCCGGCUAAAUACGUGCCAGCAGCCGCCGUAA